rnacentral:lncRNA from 1 species
GGGGUUUCGGUUUUAAUCUUGUGUUGACUGGACUUUCUUUAAAUUUAUACAUGUUGCCCUGAUAAACGGACGCUACUUGCUGUCAUGGGUUUUACUGCAGGAUAAAAGAAAUGUCAACAAUUUUGCAUUGUAUUUUGAUAUAUUGUUGUUGUCGUCUGAAGACACUUGUUUCCAGAUAAUAACUUUAGUAUAAGUGAAUAGAAAUCAAUAAAAUUUUAACACAAUUUUAAUAACCAUAAAAGGAAGGUUGGGAUUGUUUUUGGGGGUUAUGGUCCCAAAGGUUCAAGAAUUAAGGGGGCAAAAAGGGGCCCAAAUAAGCAUUUUUGUAGUUUUCAGUCCAAAACUUGUGAUAUAAUAUUAAAGAGAUUUGUAAGCCUAUAAAUCUUCAAGUUUCCAUGCUACAAAGGUAUGGUUAUAGAAGGUUAUGGCUCAAUUCAUUUAACAAUAAGGGG